rnacentral:rRNA from 1 species
UACGUAGGGUGCGAGCGUUAAUCGGAAUUACUGGGCGUAAAGCGUGCGCAGGCGGUUUUGUAAGACAGGCGUGAAAUCCCCGGGCUUAACCCGGAACGGUCAGCUGAUACUGUCGGGCUAGAGUGCAGAAGGGGCAACUGGAAUUCUCGGUGUAGCGGUGAGAUGCGUAGAUAUCGAGAGGAACACCUGCGGCGAAGGCGGGUUGCUGGGCUGACACUGACGCUGAGGCGCGAAAGCUAGGGGAGCGAACGGG